rnacentral:misc_RNA from 1 species
GAUGAAGAACGCAGCGAAAUGCGAUAAGUAAUGUGAAUUGCAGAAUUCAGUGAAUCAUCGAAUCUUUGAACGCACCUUGCACCCUUUGGCAUUCCGAAGGGUAUGCUCGUUUGAGUGUCAUUGUACUCUCACACUUCUGAUCCUUUGGAUUGGGAGCGGUGGACUUGGGUGUUGCUGCUUUACUGUGGCUCACCUCAAAUGCAUUCGUGCAACUCUUGGUUGGACAUAGUACGGCGUGAUAAGUAUCUUCGCCGGCACCUCGUAAGAGGGUGGCUGAUCAGGACCUCUGUGCUUUCCAACUGUCUUCAGACAACAACUGACAACUUGACCUCAAAUCGAGUAGGACCACCCGCUGAACUUAAGCAUAUCAAUAAGCGGAGGA